ACUCCUACGGGAGGCAGCAGUGGGGAAUAUUGGACAAUGGACCAAAAGUCUGAUCCAGCAAUUCUGUGUGUUUGAUGAAGGCCUUCGGUUGUAAGAACUUUCAGUGGGGAAGAAGCAAGUGACGGUACCCACAGAAGAAGCGACGGCUAAAUACGUGCCAGCAGCCGCGGUAAUACGUAUGUCGCAAGCGUUAUCCGGAAUUAUUGGGGCAUAAAGGGGCGUCUAGGCGGUCUAAUAAGUCUGAUGUGAAAAUGCGGGGCUCAACUCCGUAUUGCGUUGGAAACUGUUAGACUAGAGUUUUGGAGAGGUAGGCGGAACUACAAGUGUAGAGGUGAAAUUCGUAGAGAUUUGUAGGAAUGCCGAUGACGAAGGUAGCUUACUGGACAAAUACUGACGCUGAAGCGCGAAAGCUA
rnacentral:rRNA from 1 species